GACGAACGCUGGCGGCGUGCUUAACACAUGCAAGUCGAACGGAAAGGCCCUGCUUUUGUGGGGUGCUCGAGUGGCGAAUGGGUGAGUAACACGUGAGUAACCUGCCCUUGACUUUGGGAUAACUUCAGGAAACUGGGGCUAAUACCGGAUAGGAGCUCCUGCUGCAUGGUGGGGGUUGGAAAGUUUCGGCGGUUGGGGAUGGACUCGCGGCUUAUCAGCUUGUUGGUGGGGUAGUGGCUUACCAAGGCUUUGACGGGUAGCCGGCCUGAGAGGGUGACCGGCCACAUUGGGACUGAGAUACGGCCCAGACUCCUACGGGAGGCAGCAGUGGGGAAUAUUGCACAAUGGGCGGAAGCCUGAUGCAGCAACGCCGCGUGCGGGAUGACGGCCUUCGGGUUGUAAACCGCUUUCGCCUGUGCCGAAGCGUGAGUGACGGUAAUGGGUAAAGAAGCACCGGCUAACUACGUG
rnacentral:rRNA from 1 species